UACGUACUCCGUUCCUCCGAAAAUACUUGUCAUCAAAAUAAAUAAAAAGGGAUGUAUCUAGACAUAUUUUAGUUAUAGAUACAUCUUUUUUUAUCUAUUUUGAUGACAAAUAUUUUUGAACGAAGAGAGUACUAG
rfam:Triticum urartu cultivar G1812 contig446377, whole genome shotgun sequence.